rnacentral:piRNA from 1 species
UACACGUUGUGGAAAUAUAGGUUGCUUGU